rnacentral:rRNA from 1 species
UACGUAGGGUGCAAGCGUUGUCCGGAAUUAUUGGGCGUAAAGAGCUCGUAGGCGGUCUGUCGCGUCGGCUGUGAAAACCCGGGGCUCAACCCCGGGCCUGCAGUCGAUACGGGCAGACUAGAGUGCGGUAGGGGAGACUGGAAUUCCUGGUGUAGCGGUGAAAUGCGCAGAUAUCAGGAAGAACACCAAUGGCGAAAGCAGCUCUCUGGGACGGUACUGACGCUGAGACGCGAAAGCGUGGGGGAGCGAACAGG